GAUGAAGAACGUAGCGAAAUGCGAUACGUAGUGUGAAUUGCAGAAUUCAGUGAAUCAUCGAAUCUUUGAACGCACAUUGCACCUCUCGGUAUUCCGGGAGGUAUGCCUGUUCGAGCGUCAUUUCAACCAUCAAGCUCCCGGGCUUGCGUUGGGGCCCUGCGGCUGCCGCAGGCCCCUAAAACCAGUGGCGGGCUCGCUGUCACACCGAGCGCAGUAGCAUUUCUUCGCUCUGGGCGCGGCGGCGGGCGCUUGCCGUAAAACAUACCACUUUUUAAAGGUUGACCUCGGAUCAGGUAGGAAUACCCGCUGAACUUAAGCAUAUCAAUAAGCGGAGGA
rnacentral:misc_RNA from 1 species